AGUGAACGCUGGCGGUAGGCCUAACACAUGCAAGUCGAACGGCAGCACAGUAAGAGCUUGCUCUUACGGGUGGCGAGUGGCGGACGGGUGAGGUAUACAUCGGAAUCUACUUUUUCGUGGGGGAUAACGUAGGGAAACUUACGCUCAUAUCGCAUACGACCUACGGGUGAAAGCAGGGGAUCUUCGGACCUUGCGCGAUUGAAUGCGCCGAUGUCGGAUUAGCUAGUUGGCGGGGUACAGGCCCACCCAGGCGGCGAUCCGAAGCUGGUCUGAGAGGAUGAACCGCCACACUGGAACUGAGACACGGUCCAGACUCCGACGGGAGGCAGCAGUGGGGAAUAUUGCACGAUGGACGAAAGCCUGAUCCAGCCAUACCGCGUGGGUGAAGAAGGCCUUCGGGUUGUAAAGCCCUUUUGUUGGGAAAGAAAAGCAGCAGGUUAAUACCCCGCUGUUCUGACGGUACCCAAAGAAUAAGCACCGGCUAACUUCGUG
rnacentral:rRNA from 1 species